rnacentral:lncRNA from 1 species
UUUAGCAUUGCUCAUGAAUUGUGAAGCCAUUUCAUCCACUAUUGUUCCUGUAUGAUCCCUCACCCAAGGAAACUGUUAUACUGCCAUGACAUCAGAAAGGCAGCAGACUGAAGUCAUGCAUGACUGCUAGCACUAUUGGAAGAUGAAUUGUGAAGUGUUUAGCUUUUUCCAUGCCACCUCAUUCGUCAUAUCUCUUUUUUUUCUUCUUUUUUUUAUAAGUACAACGGCUUCUCACACUGCUCUAGUGUAAGUGCAACUAAUAGAGUCGAAAAAAAGGAGAUGACACAAGAGUGGAGGGGCGGCUACAAAACAUGUCCAAAGAAUCUCUUCCGAGUGGUAAGCAGCAAAGGAGGCGACC